UCUGUUGUUCUCUAGCUGGUUGACACUGGGCCAAGUUGUGUCUAACUUAUGAAUAAACAUUUGGUCCCCUUCAACCAGUUAUAGUCAACAAAUACA
rnacentral:pre_miRNA from 1 species